UCCCUGGUGGUCCAGUGGUUAAGACUCCACGCCUUCACUGCCGAGGGCCCAGGUUCAAUCCCUGGCCGGGGAA
rnacentral:tRNA from 1 species